rnacentral:rRNA from 1 species
UAGGGAAUCUUCCGCAAUGGACGCAAGUCUGACGGAGCAACGCCGCGUGAGUGAAGAAGGAUUUCGGUUCGUAAAACUCUGUUGUUAGAGAAGAACAGCGCAUAGAGUAACUGUUAUGCGUGUGACGGUAUCUAACCAGAAAGCCACGGCUAACUACGUGCCAGCAGCCGCGGUAAUACGUAGGUGGCAAGCGUUGUCCGGAUUUAUUGGGCGUAAAGCGAGCGCAGGCGGUCAAUUAAGUCUGAUGUGAAAGCCCCCGGCUCAACCGGGGAGGGUGAUUGGAAACUGGUUGACUUGAGUGCAGAAGAGGAGAGUGGAAUUCCAUGUGUAGCGGUGAAAUGCGUAAAUAUAGGGAGGAACACCAGUGGCGAAGGCGACUCUCUGGUCUGUAACUGACGCUGAGGCUCGAAAGCGUGGGUAGCAAACAGG